UAGGGAAUCUUCGGCAAUGGACGAAAGUCUGACCGAGCAACGCCGCGUGAGUGAAGAAGGUUUUCGGAUCGUAAAACUCUGUUGUUAGAGAAGAACAAGGACGUUAGUAACUGAACGUCCCCUGACGGUAUCUAACCAGAAAGCCACGGCUAACUACGUGCCAGCAGCCGCGGUAAUACGUAGGUGGCAAGCGUUGUCCGGAUUUAUUGGGCGUAAAGCGAGCGCAGGCGGUUUCUUAAGUCUGAUGUGAAAGCCCCCGGCUCAACCGGGGAGGGUCAUUGGAAACUGGGAGACUUGAGUGCAGGAGAGGGGGGUGGAAUUCCAUGUGUAGCGGUGAAAUGCGUAGAUAUAUGGAGGAACACCAGUGGCGAAGGCGGCUCUCUGGUCUGAAACUGACGCUGAGGCUCGAAAGCGUGGGGAGCAAACAGG
rnacentral:rRNA from 1 species